rnacentral:rRNA from 1 species
GCAUAUCAAUAAGCGGAGGAAAAGAAACUAACAAGGAUUCCCCUAGUAACGGCGAGUGAAGUGGGAAAAGCUCAACUUUGUAAUCUGGCAGCUUCGCUGUCCGAGUUGUAGUCUCGAGAAGUGUUUUUCCGCGCUGGAUCGUGUAUGAGUCUGUUGGAAUACAGCGUCAUAGAGGGUGAGAACCCCGUUCGUGACACGACUACCAGUGCUUUGUGAUACGCUUUCGAUGAGUCGAGUUGUUUGGGAAUGCAGCUCAAAUUGGGUGGUAAAUUCCAUCUAAAGCUAAAUAUUGGCGAGAGACCGAUAGCAAACAAGUACCGUGAGGGAAAGAUGAAAAGCACUUUGGAAAGAGAGUUAACAGUACGUGAAAUUGUUGAAAGGGAAACGCUUGAAGUCAGACGUGCGUUGUGCGAUUCAGCUCCGGUUCGCCGGAGUGUAUUUCGUACUAUUGCAGGCCAGCAUCGGUUUGGCGAGCCGGAUAAAGGUUAGGGAAAGGUAGCGGCUCCGGCCGUGUUAUAGUCCUUAACUGAAUACGGAUUGCUAGACCGAGGGACGCAGCGCGCCGCAAGGCAAAGCUUACGGGCUUUUCGCGCUUAGGAUGCUGGUGAAAUGGC